GUCCCUUUAAGAUGAAAACUC
rnacentral:siRNA from 1 species